GAGGAAUAUUGGACAAUGGAGGAAACUCUGAUCCAGCCAUGCCGCGUGAGUGAAGAAGGCCUUCGGGUUGUAAAGCUCUUUUGUCCCUGACGAUAAUGACGGUAAGGGAAGAAAAAGCCACGGCUAACUUCGUGCCAGCAGCCGCGGUAAUACGAAGGUGGCAAGCGUUAUUCGGAUUUACUGGGCGUAAAGCGUGCGUAGGCGGUUUGAUAAGUCAGAAGUGAAAGCCCAGGGCUCAACCUUGGAAUUGCUUUUGAAACUAUUUUACUUGAAUCCGGUAGAGGUUGGCGGAAUUCUCAGUGUAGAGGUGAAAUUCGCAGAUAUUGAGAGGAACACCAGUGGCGUAAGCGGCCAACUGGACCGGUAUUGACGCUGAGGCACGAAAGCAUGGGGAGCAAAC
rnacentral:rRNA from 1 species